AAACCAGCACCUCAAGUGGUCAGGAUGAUUAUUGGGCCUAAAGCAUCCGUAGCCUGCUCUGUAAGUUUUCGGUUAAAUCUGUACGCUCAACGUACAGGCUGCCGGGAAUACUGCAGAGCUAGGGGGUGGGAGAGGUAGACGGUACUCGGGAGGAAGUGGUAAAAUGCUUAGAUCUCUCGAUGACCACCUGUGGCGAAGGCGGUCUACCAGAACACGUCCGACGGUGAGGGAUGAAAGCUGGGGGAGCAAACCGGAUUAGAAACCCCGGUAGUCC
rnacentral:rRNA from 1 species